CAAAUCUACCAGUUACAGAAAUUACCAGUAGGAGAGAAAUGGCCAGCGGGGGCCUUUUGGAUUUUCACCUCACACCACACACAGCGCACACAGUUGUGA